GUCUUCUUGAUAAAAUAGGAAGUCUGACCUGCCCAGUGAAAAAUAUUUUAACGGCCGCGGUAUAUUGACCGUGCAAAGGUAGCAUAAUCAUUAGUCUUUUAAUAGAGGGCUGGAAUGAAGGGUUUAACGAAGUACUUACUGUCUCAUUUAAUUUGAUAUUAAAAUUUACUUUUUCAGUCAAAAAGCUGAAAUAUUAUUGGAAGACGAGAAGACCCUAUAGAGCUUUAUAUUUAAUUAUUUAAUAAAUUUUUGAUAUAAUUAUUAUUUAUUAUUUAAUAAAAUAUUUUGUUGGGGUGACAAAAAUAUAUAAUUAACUUUUUUAUUUAUAUAACAUUGAUAUAUGAGAAAUAGAUCCAGUUUUACUGAUUAUUAGAAUAAGUUACCUUAGGGAUAACAGCGUAAUCUUCCUUUAGAGUUCAUAUUCACAGGGAGGCUUGCGACCUCGAUGUUGGAUUAAGAUUAUAAUUAGGUGUAGCCGCUUAAAAAAUAGGUCUGUUCGACCUUUAAAUUCUU
rnacentral:rRNA from 1 species